GACGAACGCUGGCGGCGUGCUUAACACAUGCGAGUCGAACGGAAAGGCCCUGCUUUUGUGGGGUGCUCGAGUGGCGAACGGGUGAGUAACACGUGAGUAACCUGCCCUUGACUUUGGGAUAACUUCAGGAAACUGGGGCUCAUACCGGAUAGGAGCUCCUGCUGCAUGGUGGGGGUUGGAAAGUUUCGGCGGUUGGGGAUGGACUCGCGGCUUAUCAGCUUGUUGGUGGGGUAGUGGCUUACCAAGGCUUUGACGGGUAGCCGGCCUGAGAGGGUGACCGGCCACAUUGGGACUGAGAUACGGCCCAGACUCCUACGGGAGGCAGCAGUGGGGAAUAUUGCACAAUGGGCGGAAGCCUGAUGCAGCAACGCCGCGUGCGGGAUGACGGCCUUCGGGUUGUAAACCGCUUUCGCCUGUGACGAAGCGUGAGUGACGGUAAUGGGUAAAGAAGCACCGGCUAACUACGUG
rnacentral:rRNA from 1 species